rnacentral:rRNA from 1 species
AACGAACGUUGGCGGCGUGGAUUAGGCAUGCAAGUCGAACGAAUGUCAGUUUGGUAGCAAUAUUGAGCUGGCGGAAGUGGCGAAAGGGGCAGUAAUGCAUGGGUAACCUACCUUGGGGUUGGGCAUAGCCGUUCUAACGAGCGGGUAAUUCCCAGAGAUUCAGCGGGAGGGCAUCCUUCUGCUGGGAAAGAAUUUCGCCUCGAGAGGGGCCCAUGUGCUAUUAGCAGUUGGUGGGGUAACGGCCUACCAAGGCUAAGAUGGCUAGCGGGUGUGAGAGCACGACCCGCGCCACUGGCACUGAGACACUGGCCAGACACCUACGGGUGGCUGCAGUCGAGGAUCUUCGUCAAUGGGCGCAAGCCUGAACGAGCGACGCCGCGUGCGCGAUGAAGGCC